GUCCCUGUAGCGCAAUGGAUAGCGCGUUGGACUUCUAAUCCAAAGGUCGUAGGUUCGAAUCCCACCUGGGAUG